GUUCCUGUAGAGCAAUAGGUAGUGCAUUGUACUUCUAUUACAAAAGUUGUGGGUUCGAAUCCCUCCUGGGAUG
rnacentral:tRNA from 1 species